AUCCUUAUGCAAGGGCAUUACGUGUAUCAGUGAGGAUUCGUCCGAGAUCAUGUUUUUGCUGGUUGAAAACUAACCAUGACUGCUUUCAUCUGUGACAAACGGAUGAAGAAUUUUUGGGCCAUUUUGUUGC
rnacentral:snRNA from 2 species